rnacentral:rRNA from 1 species
GAUGAACGCUGGCGGCGUGCUUAACACAUGCAAGUCGAACGGAAAGGCCCUGCUUUUGUGGGGUGCUCGAGUGGCGAACGGGUGAGUAACACGUGAGUAACCUGCCCUUGACUUUGGGAUAACUUCAGGAAACUGGGGCUAAUACCGGAUAGGAGCUCCUGCUGCAUGGUGGGGGUUGGAAAGUUUCGGCGGUUGGGGAUGGACUCGCGGCUUAUCAGCUUGUUGGUGGGGUAGUGGCUUACCAAGGCUUUGACGGGUAGCCGGCCUGAGAGGGUGACCGGCAACAUUGGGACUGAGAUACGGCCCAGACUCCUACGGGAGGCAGCAGUGGGGAAUAUUGCACAAUGGGCGGAAGCCUGAUGCAGCAACGCCGCGUGCGGGAUGACGGCCGUCGGGUUGUAAACCGCUUUCGCCUGUGACGAAGCGUGAGUGACGGUAAUGGGUAAAGAAGCACCGGCUAACUAAGUG